rnacentral:rRNA from 1 species
GUGGGGAAUCUUCCACAAUGGACGAAAGUCUGAUGGAGCAACGCCGCGUGAGUGAAGAAGGUUUUCGAAUCGUAAAGCUCUGUUGUCGGGGACGAAUGUUGAGACCGAGAAUAUUGGUUUCAAAUGACGGUACCUGACGAGGAAGCCACGGCUAACUACGUGCCAGCAGCCGCGGUAAUACGUAGGUGGCGAGCGUUGUCCGGAAUUAUUGGGCGUAAAGGGAGCGCAGGUGGGAAAGUAAGUCUGUCUUAAAAGUGCGGGGCUCAACCCCGUGAUGGGAUAGAAACUAUUUUUCUUGAGUGCAGGAGAGGAAAGCGGAAUUCCUAGUGUAGCGGUGAAAUGCGUAGAUAUUAGGAGGAACACCAGUGGCGAAGGCGGCUUUCUGGACUGUAACUGACACUGAGGCUCGAAAGCCAGGGGAGCGAACGGGAUUAGAUACCCCUGUAGUCC